UAAGACCAUAAACACACAGAGUUGGCUGGACAGGAAAGAAAACGAACAGACGGACAAAACAGACAGACAACUCAGGAGGACCGGUUCCUUUCUCUCCACAAGUCAACCCGUUCAUCUAGAACUCAGAUGGAGUUUGCCUGCAGUCAUGUAGUGUGUAACUGGAGACCAGAGAGUGUAGAGGCGAGGUCAGGUGAUGGGGGGAGCCCAGGUCUAGGUGAACCCCUCAGGCUGUCUGUCAAAGAGCACAUGUACGACAAUCGCAUCGCGGUCAUCUCCCGGUCAGAACCGGGUAUAAUGCCUCCAGCUCUGCCCCCUCGACAGUUUGGUUCUCAGAAGCCCCACCCCCAACCCACUGUUCUGCCUCCCCUGCCUUCCUCUCUUCCCUCCCUGCCUCCCCCUCUACCA